UUUCCGCCAUACUCCCAACCGGAAACACCCUUGCCUUCCAACUUUAAGCACAACCUUCUCAAAAGAGUCUUGUCGUCCCUCAAGACCGCUUCUGGCGCCAACUUCUCCACAAGAAUCUUGUGCGCUCGAUCGUAGAGCUUGGCUUGAAGAAGAGCAUGGUACUCGGCCCAGGCAUCACCAGUCGAACAGAGGAAAGCUGCCCGAGAUUCAUAUAUCCAUUCUUCUGGAAUGCAGAGGGUUUCCGUCAAGAAAGCUUGAUCCUCUUUAGUAGCGGCUGGAUGUCGGUAAAGAAGGGCAUGAAGAGCCUUGGAACGCCUAAUGAAACAGAUCAGCUCCCCUAUCACCUAAAGCCAAUGCAGACUCACCCAUCGACUGUCUCAAGGUGCAACAACACAAAGGCAGCCCACUUCCAUUCGCCAAUCUCUUCCAAUUGCGCUGCAUAACCCGCCGUCAAUCGGUCAGCGUUCGCACUGUAUCCAGUACUCUCAUCCCUAUCUUCAAAGUCUCUUCUUCUCAACACUCUGGAAAGCAACACGUAAAGAUGCCAUGCUAACCGCACGUCAAACGGGCUAGGAGAUGUAUCUCGCGAUCGGAGCACCUGGUCAAGAGAUAUGGCGUCGUCGGAAUAAAGUUGAAGAAGAUUGUAGAGAACAUCUGUAGGUUCAGUAGGAAGAUUCCAGGAACGAAUGUUGUCGGAUGGUUUCUCAAGGUAUGGCGGAAGAGGUCUAGCAGGUGGAUGAGUAGAUGAAAGGGAAAAGGUAUAAGAGUCGACGACAUCUCGGAUGGUAUUUUCAAAAGGUAUACCGUACCAAAGAUGGAGACCAAAAGCACGCUUCCAGUCAAGAUCAUCAGCAAUCAAAACGUCAGGACAUCCAUCAGACCCUCGUGAUGGAUCGCCGGCUGAAACAUCGGUGAUACCUGCCAAAAUCUUCCAAUUGCUUCAAGAGUUCGUCUUUAAAACUUUCCUCCCCACCCGCUUGGGACAAUAACGUUGCUAACCUCAUAUUGCCGGCCUUCAAGGCAGACUCGACAGCAUGCUCGACUUGAUGGCCGCUCAGAAGAGAGAAAAUCUUGCCUGGCUGGUCCUCGCUUCGAGUGAUUAGAUCGGAAUCAACCAAAGGAGCAACAGCAUCCUCCAACCAUUUGGAUAAAGCCAGUUUUCGGCGGAUAGACGAAAUACGUUCGAUAAGCUCUUCCGAUGAUCCUUCAGGAAGUUGAAUGUCAAUUUCAUCGAAAAGGGCAACACCAAGGCGGAAAACGUUGGCUUCGUGGGAGCGAUCACCCGCGUCAAAUCGAGAAGCAAAGUCGCGGAACCGAAUGCCUGGGUUGAUGGUGACCGUUGGCAUACCCUCCACCUGUUCAAUUAAACUGGUUUCCAGGUGAAGGGAGAGUAGUCUUUGAGACUUGGAUGUUUCCACCUUAGGUUCUUCCGAUAGUACAUCCACUUUCUCGAUAUAGACAACGGCAUCGGUGUCCGCUCGACUAUUUACGUCAACCGAUGGAUCUCGCCAGUUCAAACGUAAUCUACACUCACAUUGACUCAGUCGGCGAACAAAUCUUCCCAAGAUGUACCAGUUCUCCGUUAGGACCCCAAGAACAUCUAAAAGACCUUCCCAAAGCUAGUCCCGCGUCCACUCUUAGCCCCUCUGCUCCCUUGGCCACACUCUCUUCCUCAGUUACUCUCGCAUACUUCCUUGGUUGGCGAAGUUUGGGCAGGCUUAUUUGAGUUUCGCCGAAAGAGGUCCGCUACGAUAUUGUUAAUACGGAGCAUGAUUUAGACCCCAACAAAGACAACAUACCUUGAUAGCCCGCUCAUCAAGCUUCACAUUUUCCUCCUCGGCUUCACGAAAAAACGACUCAUACCCUUUUUCUGCCUCCCUCUUCUUUGAUAAUGCUAAAUCUUUGCCAGGUCUCGUCAUAGAAGCGGAAGACCCGAAAAAAGAGUCUUGCAUACCUCGCAAGUUCUUCAUUCCCUCAGCUCCCAGUUGCGAUUUGAUGGGAAGAUCCCAACUAGCUUGAGGAAACUCCAUCUCACCGCUCUCAUCCGCCUCUGUCAGCCCAUCUUCCAUAUAAGACUCUUCUGAAAGCUGGUCCUCUUCAAACCCAGAGUCGUGCUCGGUUUCAACAUCCCGGAUACUCUUGAUCUGGAAAAAUCCCUAACAACAUCUUUCCCCCGCCUUCCCAGGUCCCUAUUUUCAAUACUCUCAUCCUCAUCACUAUCGGCAAUGCCAUAGGUUGUAAAGUGCUCCACACGGAAGGUCCAGGUACCAUCAUCUGUAUAACUGAUGAAUUCGGUGUCAGGAAUAGCCUUUACACGCCUAACAAACUUCUGGAAUCUUGGAUCUUCAGGGUCUCGCACCCAAUCUUUGGUUGCCUUGUCCGUGGUAAAUACAUUCUCAAGCAUGAUUCUAGCUGGCACAUUCAGACCUUGGCCCCUUUCAGGUUUUUGAGAAUAGUCGUCGGGGUAGACAGAAAGCUCAGAUUGGUCAACGACUAUUAUAGAGCCAAGAAUAUCUUCCAAGGGGGCAAGAGUUAAAUCAACAGGUUCAAGGAACGAAACUUCACCGAAACCACGUCGACCUGCGGUGAAACCACUCAGCUGGGAGAGAUCUUCUUUGCUCAUUUGUUCGAGCUUUUCCAACUUCGGUCUACACCAAUAAUCACCUUUCUUGGGUGCACGCUCAGACCCUGCAACUCGGGGUGAUGCGAUGGCCGAGGUUGAUCGGGUGGCAGAAGAAUCGGCGAUUUCAGGACGGGAGGGUGUACCAUUCACAGGAGGAUGGAAUACAAGAGGAGUACCAGGUGUCUGAGGGGUAGAAAUAGUACCCUUGAGGGAGCUCGUGGAGGUUUUGAGAGCUGAUUUGCCAAGGACAGACUCCAGCUGGUCACUACCGCCAAUGGAGCUGCCAAUGUUC
rnacentral:sRNA from 1 species